AAAAGGGGUGAAAAGAACAAAGUUUUGUCCAUCUUUGUUCAUCCUAGCCUAAAGUUAGAGAAGAGAAAGGAGAGGAGAAAGCUCUUAAAUGUUCGGUCACUUGGGGAAGAAAAUUGAAGGAAAUCCCCAACCAUAGUGGGCUUGGAGCUAUGAGGGAAUUUGGAGUGGCCACCCGUUCUGAAAGUUUGAUUUUCUUUUGGUGAACUGGACAUCCUUUUAAUUACGUUUAAGGUUUUGGGCUUUUAAAUGUAAUAAGGCCGCUUAUUUAUUUUUGAUGGUUUUUAAUAUGUAUUACUAAGAUAGGUAAUACUUAUUUUAACUGUUGAAAUUAGAUAGCUUUAGGGCGCGUUUUCAAAAACAA